GAUGAAGAACGCAGCGAAAUGCGAUACGUAAUGUGAAUUGCAGAUUUCAGUGAAUCAUCGAAUCUUUGAACGCACAUUGCGCCCGCUAGUAUUCUGGCGGGCAUGCCUGUUCGAGCGUCAUUUCAACCCUCAAGCUCUGCUUGGUGUUGGGGCCCUACGGUUGACGUAGGCCCUUAAAGGUAGUGGCGGACCCUCUCGGAGCCUCCUUUGCGUAGUAACUAACGUCUCGCAUUGGGAUUCGGAGGGACUCUUGCCGUAAAACCCCCAAAUUUUCUAAUGGUUGACCUCGGAUCAGGUAGGAAUACCCGCUGAACUUAAGCAUAUCAAUAAGCGGAGGA
rnacentral:misc_RNA from 1 species